CUAUUUUAUAUAAAUGAUCGCGGGUUUUGUUAAAAAACCUGAGGAAAGUCCGAACAUCCUUUUUAGAUGAAAAUCUAAAAUGAAAGGGUAGUUGGUAACACCAACGCACUAUAUUUGCAAAAAUAUAGCGACAACAAGCACAACAGAAAAUACAUCUCUGCUUUUGCAGUGCGAGUGAAAUUGCUAACCAAUUAGUUAGCACGUUCCUAUGGUGACAUAGGGGAAGAGGCAAGCUUUACCUGAUGAAAGAGCAACCUGCAUUUAUUGUAGGGCUAUAUAGAAAUAUAUAGCGGUGGCUCGAUAGAGAUUAUUAGUAAUAAUAAUCCUAGAUAAAUGAUCAUAUAAUACAAAAUUCGGCUUAUUGAUAAAAUAGCUUA
rnacentral:RNase_P_RNA from 1 species